UCUUCCAAAUGAACCAUUUUUUUCAAAACUCUUGCAUGUGAUUGGAUUAAGAAUCUGUCCGUCAUUUUGACUGACACGCCAUUUCAGCCACUCCCGUUGACUCAAUCCGUGACGUAGUUCACAGCGACACCACGCAGGAGGCAAGACUUUUCAUCACAACAAACAUGGCGGCGGCUGGAAGUAAACGGAGUAAACUUUCUAUAAACGAACAUUGCCCUAUAUGCAGGGGAUAUCUAAGGACAAAUGGUAAUAUCUGCAACCGCCCAUGGAUAUUUGAAGAACUUCCCUACGGGAAAGGGUAAACCAGCGCCCAGCUGAACUUGAUCGAAACUUGUGAAACUUCUCCGAAAAAUCCUGUCGCAUGCCUGAAAUGCCUGCUGUAAUUUAACCCAGCGUUCUCAAGGUACAUACGAUGCAGAAAUGCAAAGCAGGGCCAAACAUGCUGCAUUCAAUGGGUACGAAGACGGUGUGAGGAACAACAUAACAGCUCUCUUCCUGGUGGCAGCCAUGGAGCACCUAGGGGCUUCAUUAAGUGUCAGAUAUCCCUGACGGCUUCAUACCUGACCACAUAACCAUGGGCUCUGAAGAGGGGAAAAAAAAGGAACAGGCUACAUCCGGUAGUGGCCCGGGUGGUCAACAAAUGCCAUUUUCCACAUGCAGUCCAGGAGGGAGACGUAUAACUAUACUGUAGAUUUGAUAUUUUUACAAGGCCUUUAGCCACAGUGUGCCCACAGCGCACUGCUCGUAAUUCUGCAGGUAAAUUUCACUCUUUCG